AUUGAACGCUGGCGGCAGGCCUAACACAUGCAAGUCGAGCGGAGCGGCGGACGGGUGAGUAAUGCCUAGGAAUCUGCCUGGUAGUGGGGGAUAACGUCCGGAAACGGGCGAUAAUCCCGCAUCCUCUCAGAUGAGCCUAGGUCGGAUUAACUAGUUGGUGGGGUAAAGGCCUACCAGGGCGACGCUCCGUAACUGGUGUGAGAGGAUGAUCAUUCACACGGGAACGGAGACAUGGUCCAUACUCCGAGGGGAGGCAGCAGUGGGGAAUAUUGGACAAUGGGCGAAAGCCCUCCCCAGCCAGGCCGCGUGUGUGAAGAAGGUCUUCGGAUUGUAAAGCACUUUAAGUUGGGAGGCGUUACCAACAGAAUAAGCACCGGCUAACUUCGGGCCAGCAGCCGCGGUAAUAC
rnacentral:rRNA from 1 species